rnacentral:sRNA from 1 species
AUAUUAAAUGAUCACCUUUCGAAUGAACCAAAAUUGAUGUAGACUUACAUAUUCUUUAACCCAUAGAUGAUAUUCUUCCGCUCUUCUCGCGUAGAGUUCUUUUUCGGGCAAGCAUGGAUAUUUGGCAGAAAGAUAAUCUUCGAACAUACUACAUUUACAAACGAGGAAAAAUUUAUCAAAGUGAUCUUAGUGAAAAUUUACAAACAACGAGUGAUUAAAAAUACCUCUCAAA